rnacentral:lncRNA from 1 species
CAGGUGCGCGACGCCCCCUCAGGGCCCCGGCGGGGGAUUAGAGGGUGACCUUGGCUUAGGCGCAAAAAUAGUCCCGGGUCAGCCCAAGGCGCCUGCGCAGAGGCCCCGCGCCCCUCAGCGUGGGUCCUGCGGAUGGGCGUCCCCCCCCCCCCCCCCGCUUCAGGCGCAACCCCCGAGACCCCGGGAGCUGGAUGCUGAGGCCGCCGGCCCGCACCGCUCUCCUAGACCCACCGCCGCCGAGCGGCGCGCCUGGGAGGGGACCGCGGGAGAAGCCCGUGCCCCGGUUCCAACACAGCCGGAGAACACCACAUUCCUGCGGUGGCCAGCCCUGCUUCAGAGUUCCAGGCGCAGAAGCUGACCCCUACCCGAGAGUAGGCGCCAUCCUGCUUCCCCCGCCACAGCCGGGGUCUUUUGCCCGCCCCCCCCCCAAAACCAGUUCGCCAUCAUGGAAAACGGGGUGGAUUCGCUUCCAAGUGACGCCUGCCCUUAGAGAAAGGCCCAGAAGUUGAACGAUGCCAGAGCUAGUGAAUAAGAUGGAUGAGAAUACACUGCAAUGUUUUUACCGGCCUUCCUUUCCAUUGGAUGACAACUGGCAGAAAAAUUCAAUAUUUUUUCAUGACACCCUAAGAAGACACUCACAAAACAGGACUUCCAGAACUUCUUCAGAAAGUGCCAAGAAUGACGAGAUGAGCACGUCUGAGGCAAGUGGGAGUAGUUUGAGGGGGAUUAAAGGCAAUGUGUCUUUCACUGUAACAAAUUUUUUU